GGGAAACCCGGAGCUAAUACCGGAUAAUAUUUUGAACCGCAUGGUUCAAAAGUGAAAGACGGUCUUGCUGUCACUUAUAGAUGGAUCCGCGCUGCAUUAGCUAGUUGGUAAGGUAACGGCUUACCAAGGCAACGAUGCAUAGCCGACCUGAGAGGGUGAUCGGCCACACUGGAACUGAGACACGGUCCAGACUCCUACGGGAGGCAGCAGUAGGGAAUCUUCCGCAAUGGGCGAAAGCCUGACGGAGCAACGCCGCGUGAGUGAUGAAGGUCUUCGGAUCGUAAAACUCUGUUAUUAGGGAAGAACAUAUGUGUAAGUAACUGUGCACAUCUUGACGGUACCUAAUCAGAAAGCCACGGCUAACUACGUGCCAGCAGCCGCGGUAAUACGUAGGUGGCAAGCGUUAUCCGGAAUUAUUGGGCGUAAAGCGCGCGUAGGCGGUUUUUUAAGUCUGAUGUGAAAGCCCACGGCUCAACCGUGGAGGGUCAUUGGAAACUGGAAAACUUGAGUGCAGAAGAGGAAAGUGGAAUUCCAUGUGUAGCGGUGAAAUGCGCAGAGAUAUGGAGGAACACCAGUGGCGAAGGCGACUUUCUGGUCUGUAACUGACGCUGAUGUGCGAAAGCGUGGGGAUCAAACAGGAUUAGAUACCCCUGGUAGUCCACGCCGUAAACGAUGAGUGCUAAGUGUUAGGGGGUUUCCGCCCCUUAGUGCUGCAGCUAACGCAUUAAGCACUCCGCCUGGGGAGUACGACCGCAAGGUUG
rnacentral:rRNA from 1 species